GAGUUUGAUCCGGGCUCAGGACGAACGCUGGCGGCGUGCCUAAUACAUGCAAGUAGAACGCUGAAGAGAGGAGCUUGCUCUUCUUGGAUGAGUUGCGAACGGGUGAGUAACGCGUAGGUAACCUGCCUUGUAGCGGGGGAUAACUAUUGGAAACGAUAGCUAAUACCGCAUAACAAUAGGUGACACAUGUCAUUUAUUUGAAAGGGGCAAUUGCUCCACUACAAGAUGGACCUGCGUUGUAUUAGCUAGUAGGUGAGGUAACGGCUCACCUAGGCGACGAUACAUAGCCGACCUGAGAGGGUGAUCGGCCACACUGGGACUGAGACACGGCCCAGACUCCUACGGGAGGCAGCAGUAGGGAAUCUUCGGCAAUGGGGGCAACCCUGACCGAGCAACGCCGCGUGAGUGAAGAAGGUUUUCGGAUCGUAAAGCUCUGUUGUAAGUCAAGAACGAGUGUGAGAGUGGAAAGUUCACACUGUGACGGUAGCUUACCAGAAAGGGACGGCUAACUACGUGCCAGCAGCCGCGGUAAUACGUAGGUCCCGAGCGUUGUCCGGAUUUAUUGGGCGUAAAGCGAGCGCAGGCGGUUUGAUAAGUCUGAAGUUAAAGGCUGUGGCUCAACCAUAGUUCGCUUUGGAAACUGUCAAACUUGAGUGCAGAAGGGGAGAGUGGAAUUCCAUGUGUAGCGGUGAAAUGCGUAGAUAUAUGGAGGAACACCGGUGGCGAAAGCGGCUCUCUGGUCUGUAACUGACGCUGAGGCUCGAAAGCGUGGGGAGCGAACAGGAUUAGAUACCCUGGUAGUCCACGCCGUAAACGAUGAGUGCUAGGUGUUGGAUCCUUUCCGGGAUUCAGUGCCGCAGCUAACGCAUUAAGCACUCCGCCUGGGGAGUACGACCGCAAGGUUGAAACUCAAAGGAAUUGACGGGGGCCCGCACAAGCGGUGGAGCAUGUGGUUUAAUUCGAAGCAACGCGAAGAACCUUACCAGGUCUUGACAUCCCGAUGCUAUUUCUAGAGAUAGAAAGUUACUUCGGUACAUCGGUGACAGGUGGUGCAUGGUUGUCGUCAGCUCGUGUCGUGAGAUGUUGGGUUAAGUCCCGCAACGAGCGCAACCCCUAUUGUUAGUUGCCAUCAUUCAGUUGGGCACUCUAGCGAGACUGCCGGUAAUAAACCGGAGGAAGGUGGGGAUGACGUCAAAUCAUCAUGCCCCUUAUGACCUGGGCUACACACGUGCUACAAUGGUUGGUACAACGAGUUGCGAGUCGGUGACGGCAAGCUAAUCUCUUAAAGCCAAUCUCAGUUCGGAUUGUAGGCUGCAACUCGCCUACAUGAAGUCGGAGUCGCUAGUAAUCGCGGAUCAGCACGCCGCGGUGAAUACGUUCCCGGGCCUUGUACACACCGCCCGUC
rnacentral:rRNA from 1 species